AUACGUAGGGGGCGAGCGUUGUCCGGAAUGAUUGGGCGUAAAGGGCGCGUAGGCGGCCCGGUAAGUCUGGAGUGAAAGUCCUGUUUUUAAGAUGGGAAUUGCUUUGGAUACUGUCGGGCUUGAGUGCAGGAGAGGUCAGUGGUAUUCCCAGUGUAGCGGUGAAAUGCGUAGAGAUUGGGAGGAACACCAGUGGCGAAGGCGACUUACUGGACUGUAACUGACGCUGAGGCGCGAAAGUGUGGGGAGCAAACAGGAUUAGAUACCCUGGUAGUCCACACUGUAAACGAUGAAUGCUAGGUGUAGGGGGUAUCGACCCCUUCUGUGCCGCAGUCAACACAAUAAGCAUUCCGCCUGGGGAGUACGGCCGCAAGGUUGAAACUCAAAGGAAUUGACGGGG
rnacentral:rRNA from 1 species